CAGUGGCGAACGGGUGAGUAACACGUGAGCAACCUGCCCCAGACUUCGGGAUAAGCCUUGGAAACGAGGUCUAAUACUGGAUAUGAGGUCACAUCGCAUGGUGUGGUCUGGAAAGAUUUAUCGGUCUGGGAUGGGCUCGCGGCCUAUCAGCUUGUUGGUGGGGUAGUGGCCUACCAAGGCGACGACGGGUAGCCGGCCUGAGAGGGCGACCGGCCACACUGGGACUGAGACACGGCCCAGACUCCUACGGGAGGCAGCAGUGGGGAAUAUUGCACAAUGGGCGCAAGCCUGAUGCAGCGACGCCGCGUGAGGGAUGAAGGCCUUCGGGUUGUAAACCUCUUUCAGCAGGGAAGAAGCGCAAGUGACGGUACCUGCAGAAGAAGCGCCGGCUAACUACGUGCCAGCAGCCGCGGUAAUACGUAGGGCGCAAGCGUUGUCCGGAAUUAUUGGGCGUAAAGAGCUCGUAGGCGGUCUGUCGCGUCUGGUGUGAAAACUCAAGGCUCAACCUUGAGCUUGCAUCGGGUACGGGCAGACUAGAGUGCGGUAGGGGAGACUGGAAUUCCUGGUGUAGCGGUGGAAUGCGCAGAUAUCAGGAGGAACACCGAUGGCGAAGGCAGGUCUCUGGGCCGCAACUGACGCUGAGGAGCGAAAGCAUGGGGAGCGAACAGGAUUAGAUACCCUGGUAGUCCAUGCCGUAAACGUUGGGCACUAGGUGUGGGGCUCAUUCCACGAGUUCCGUGCCGCAGCAAA
rnacentral:rRNA from 1 species